rnacentral:rRNA from 1 species
UACGUAGGGUGCGAGCGUUGUCCGGAAUUAUUGGGCGUAAAGAGCUCGUAGGCGGCUUGUCGCGUCGGAUGUGAAAGCCCGGGGCUUAACUCCGGGUCUGCAUUCGAUACGGGCAGGCUAGAGUUCGGUAGGGGAGAUCGGAAUUCCUGGUGUAGCGGUGAAAUGCGCAGAUAUCGGGAGGAACACCGGUGGCGAAGGCGGUUCUCUGGGCCUGACCUGACGCUGAGGAGCGAAAGCGUGGGGAGCGAACAGG